CUCAAAUUUCUCCCUGAAACUCCACCAAUUGUUAGAGAGACACCUGAACUUGAAAGAUAAAGCAAAACUACUGAGACAAUUAGGAUAAUCAGAAAAGAAGCCAGUUAUCAGCUGUACUUUAGUGUGGAAUAGUUCAAUCACCUUAGUAGAAGGGACACUUAAAUUAAGCAAGUUUGGGAAUAAGUUUGCUUACUUUCUUUUGCCCUCACCCUCCAAAGAAAGAGAAGUAGGCUAGGUCAAGACCAGACUUAAGUUCAUCUCCUUCCUGAUGCUCUACUUUCCCGGGCAUUGCUUGAUCCUUCACGCCCUCCCUGAAACAUAGUUAAUGUUUAUAGUACCCCCCCCCCCCCCCACACACACACACAUCGGUGCUUUCUCCCAGUCUUUCAGUGUCCAUCAGGAGUAAGUAUGCUCAGUUGUUAAUGUGAUCGCUCUAUACUGGAAACUCAUACCUGGAAAGUAUGAUAUUCCAGUUUUCUAAGAGUACAAAUUCCAAGUAAAAUGACUCUGAGCUGGGAGUAAAGGGUGGAGGACCCGAAAUCAUCCCCAUGUACCUGUGAAUAGUGUAAAUCAAAUUCUCCCCUAAAAGAAACUCAGGGUACAGGAGGGGGGCAGUGAGUUGUCACAAAAGAAUUCAAGAAUCCAGGAUUAGGCAGCACCAGCCUUCUAGGGCUUCACCCCAAGCAGGAAAUUGCUGCACUGCGCCAUGGCUUCCCUACACCAGUGCCCAGGCAGCUGGCCAAUUCACUAACCCCUUCCCUGGCCUCGCACAGACCGCGUCGUCCGUGCAACCCUGGCCUCACAGUAACCCUGGCUGGCUUGAGAAGAGUUGGCAGAGAGAGUCCAGGGCAUGCUAUUUAAAGCUAUAAGCAGCUACUGUGAAUGGAGAUGAGCUGCUUUAGCAGCAGAGGAUAAGGCUAGACACAGCAGAUUCUCACUUGUCCUAAUGAAUUCACACGCCUGCUGUGGUUAGGCCCCCAAACUUGAUAUGAAAGAGCUCAGUGCCAUUUAUUAAUUACUAGUAGUCAUCUAUCCCAUCCAGCAAAUUUUCCACAAUUAAGUUGCUUGAUUUCAAAUCCUUAUAUUCAAUUUUCAACAUCAAAAUAUACUAAUGAUAUGCAUAUGUAAUUAUGUGUGUGCAUACAUUAUGUAUACACACACCUAAAUACCCACAUGGACUAUUUCAUGUAAACAUACACACAUACAUCUUUGUAUACAUAUGUAGAUAGCUAGGGAAUACAUAUAUAAUGAGAGAUCCAUAAAUGUGUCUGUGUUUGAAUUCAGGUUACCCGAGCUACCAGAAAUAUUAGGAAUACCCACUGAGAACCAGGAUUAGGUAACAAAGGCACAGGUUCUGAAUGCAGGUAUCAAGGUCUUCCAUGAGACAAAGACAAGACACUCACUUCUCUGGAUUCUUAAGCCAUGAACAGGAACUGUUGUCAGGAUUAAGAUAAUUCCUGUAAAAGACAAUUCUAUGCCUGGCACACAGAGUUCAUGCUCAAAGACCUUAACUGGUAUUAGUAUUAUGAUAAAAACAUCUAUAGUAGCUCAGGAGGACUGUGGCAGAUUAGUUUUCUUCUGGAAAAUAAAUUUUAUCUCAACCAACUCCGAUAAUCUGUCCCCAUAGUCUCCUUGUCCUCUUCAUAAAAUGUGCUCACAAGGUGCCAUAUCUAGGGAAUUCCUAUUCAUGUUUUAAAAUUCAGCUCACCUAUCAUUUCCAGGAAACUUUCCCUGACCCCUAGCCUAGGUCUGAUGACUUUGUUGCCUUUUUCAUAAAACAUUGUCCCUGUCCUUUAUAUCUUUAUUUACCCAGUUGGGUGACUAAAAAGUAAUGUCUCUAUUUCCCACUCUAUCUAAGAUAAACUCCAUGGGGGCAAAUACUAUGUCUGCUUCUGCUCAUUGUUGCAUCCCUAGCACUGAAAGUAUACAGCACAUGAUAGAUACUCAAUAAAUACUUAUUGAAUGAAUGAAUGAGUUAGCCAGGUAUUAAUGAAUCUAUUUGUUCUCUCCUAAGAAGCAGAGAGAGAAUUCACUCACAGGAAUACAAAGAAUCCUGGGAGUUACCAAGAGACACAAAAGUUGGAAAAACUAGCACUUGCCUAGAAGAAGUCAAGCUAUCCAAGAAACCAAAGAGGAAUACUCUGGACUGGAAAAAAAAAUUGAUAUAAGAAAGCAUAUUGACCUCCAUCACCUAAUAAAACAGAUAAGAAAUGAACAAGAUUGGCAAGGCUCUGAAUAACAGUCUUAUAUCACCUAAUGCCAUAGACCUCUUUAUCACUAUCCUAAAAAAUGUACCACUCUGAGGUUCAUAAUAUAAAUAUUUUCCCAAAACAAAAAGCAUGAGAGGAAUGUUAAAAUUAUGACUUAUGCCUGGUUAAUUCCAUUCUAGCCGGAAUAUGGGCUAUAUCACGUGACUAAAGGGAAAUUUUCCUGAAGCAGUUUCCUGCAUGGUAGGUACACUGAAACAGCUGAGUGGUCAUCUGCAUAAAACAAAAGUAUUACAAUAAUAAUAACAAUAGGAAGCCAAUCAUGGAUGCUUACUACAUCUUUCUCAACUCUGAAAAACCUAGUAAGUGGAACAAGGUGUCUUUACCUCAUAUUUCUAAGUAGAACCUAAGAAAGGACUUCCUCUAUCUGGCAGAGCUACAUAUAAAUAAGACGGAGGGUAGUGAGUUUCCCAUCCUUAGAUGUCUUCAGGAGGGCAAAAGUUAGAGUAUCUCUCAAGAGCUGAUAAUGAAGGAGCCCUGCUUCAGGUGGAGAAGGUGAUGUGAACGUUACAGGAUUUUCACCAAGGUAUUCACUUCAGAGAAGAUGGAAUUUUCCAUAAAUUAGGUCACAGGCUGACUUGGCCACCUGCAGUAUUUAUUUUGCGAACUAAAACCAUUACUAAUAUUAUGAAUCACAAAAUAUCAAGGACAAAUAAUUUUAAAUUGAUUAAAGAAGGAAAAGGGCGACAGUAAUAAUCUUCAAUUUCCUAAGCACAAGGCUGUGUGAAAGAUGCCCUAACAGUCUUGGAAAAGCCUUGACAUGAUGUCCACUUUACUGAAGGAAAGACACCUCCAAAAAGUUAAAUCACUUGUGUAAGGUCACAGGCUGGUAGGUGGCGGAACGGGAACUGGAGUUAAGUCUGUCUGAUUCUACCCUGAUGCCAUGCCCACUCUUGCCAUGAGCCAUUUCCCUCAACCAUUUCACACGUGUUGACAUCUGUCACCAAUAGUAGUUACAUUUUUCCAAACUGAACUGUUUCAUAGUAUCGUAACUCUAAAUAACUUAGCUGGGGUUCCUCUUCAUUAGUGUUUAUCGAUUUCGCUACAAAACUCCAAACCAAACACCUUGUAAGCAUUUUAUAAAAGUAGGCUAUAACAAUCUAGAUAAUGCUUUUCAAAACAUAUCAGGCUAUAUAUAAUGUCCUUUUUUUUUUUAACAUUACGAACUCUGAAGUUAGACCUCAGUGCACUUAUAUAUCCCUUUUUCUUUAAUCAAUAAACUAGAAUUUUCAGAAAUGUAUUACAAUUAUGGAAGAGUCCAUCAAAGGACUCACAAACCACACUAAGACUAAUGAUAAUGUGUUGAUACAUUUAGUGUAGUCUGGUAUUGCUUAAAAAUUAAUCAACUCUUUUGAAAAUAAUUAAAAAAAAAACACCAGGUGAUCAAAGUCCCUUGUUUUAGAGACAAAGAAUUCCCAAAGCCUGACUACCUGAAUAAAAAGUACAAUAGAUUUUCUAUUCCAAAAUUUUUUGCAAUUUCACUGUUGUAGACUAACAACAAUAGGUUACAACCUCACUUUUCAAUUGUAUUUCUGAUUAACACUGCUGUUAUUCCAGCAGUGUUAAAAACAUACAAGUCAAUUCAAGUCGUUCAUUCUUGUCAACAACCCACAUUGUGAGAGGCACAUUUAGGUAGCUUGGGGUAAUAGAACUGUCAUGGGCUUUGUUGCCACUAGACCCACAUGCCAAUAUAGCUCUGCCACCAACUCUACAACCUAACAUCAAAUUCUGUCACUGGUGUUCAAAUCAAAGUAUUUUAUUAAACAUUGAUUUUCUCUCCCUUUUCUAUGGCUUGCCAUAAAGAUGUGUACAUAUGUGUUUAUAUGUGUGUGUCUGUGCAUAUAUAUAUUUCUAUAUACACACAAAUACAUAUAUAGCUAUAGAGUACAAAUACUAUAAAUGAUACAAGAUGAGAUUUAAUAUCAAAUAUAAUACAUCUAUUCAGUUAUUUUUGUUUUCUUUUUUGAGACUUAAGUCAAGCUGAUCUAAUUACUCUUUAUGCUCAAAUUUUUUACUUUCUUUUUUAAAAAAAAAGUUAAGUUUAUUUAUUUAUUUUGAGGGGGGGGCGGGAUGAGCAAGGAAGGGGAAGAGAAAGGGGGAGAGAAAGAAUCCCAAGCAGUAUCUGUUCUGUCAGCAAGGAGCCCGAUGUGGGACUCAAACUCACAAAUCGUGAGAUCAUGACCUGAGCCAAAAUCAAGAGUCAGAAACUUAACCAACUGAGCCACCCAUCACCCCAUCAAUUUUUUUUUACUAUCUUUAUAGUAGUGCAUUGUAAACAAAUACAGUUAAAUCUCGGUUUGUGAGCAUAAUUUGUUCCAGAAACAUGCUUGUAUUCCAAAGCUCUCGCAUAUCAAAGAGAAUUUCAAGAACCAUUGGCUCCGUUAUGAUCAUGUGACAUUCGGGACCAGGUACUACUCAUAUUGCAAGAUAUUGCUCGAUCAUCAAGUUAAAAUUUAUUAGAAAUGUUUGCUUGCCUUGCAGAACACUUGUAGAACAAGUUACUCGCAAUCCAAGGUUUUGCUGAUACCACUAAAAUGACAUUAGGAACACUCCUUGGAGAAUGAAAAGAAGUAGAGGAUAUGAACAUAGAGUAAAUAUAAUAAGAAAGUGAGGAAAACAUUUCAGAUGGAAAAAAUAAUAGUCUUAGCAGGAAGCUUCCUAAAUGGCACAAUCACUGAUCAAACUUGAAAAGUUGAAGAACCUGGACGAAGAUCUGAGAAGUCAGAUUUUUCAAAGUCAAAUUUCAUAACCCUCUGGGAUAAAAUUUAGGGAACAAAUUCUAGAAAAAAAGUGACUAAGAAAAAAACCUCCCUAAACUCCACACAAAAAGGCCUCAUGACUUCAUGACUUUUCUAUGAAGAAAAGCAACAUAAUUAAGGAACAAGAAUCUUGCCCACCUUCCAUCCUGAAUACCCAUGCAAACUUGCUAAUCUCAAUGACACAGUCACUGAUGUAUGCUCCUUUUUCUUUCUCCCUUUUGUAUCAUCUGGCCCUGUAUUUGGAUUAAUACUGGCCCUCCUCUGUAUUGGUUUUAUAUGUUACAAAGUUCAUGAAAUCAACUUCCCCUUUUCCCCUUUGUUCUUAGGGCCAUCACAGGUGGACCUCCAACAAGACCCCUAUGUUCCUCCGAGGCUCCUCCUCCUACCCAUCCCGUCCCCACCAUCAUCAGGGAUCACUGUAACAUAAAUGCUCACCUUUCCAAUUCUCUUGUUUCACAAAUAUUGCUUCCUCCAAGAAGCCUUCUAACAUCCUUCCAGGCAGAAAUCAUUGUUCCACCAUCCAAGCUCUCACAUUUCAUCUGGUCUAGUCUUACAACAUAUAAAACUUUCUGCCUUGUACUUCGGUUCUGCUUUUGCACAUCUUAUUUCCAGAGCCCUCGGGAGACAAAGGCUAUGCCUGAUUUCCCUCACUAUUUACCACAGCAAUCGGUACAGCACUUUACAUACCCCAGUGCUUCAAAAUGCUUUACCUUGGGAUCAGUAUUCCUGGAAGCAAAGAUUAAGUCAAAAGAAUAACACAGUUUCUUCAAAGUUGAAAACUUUGAGGCUGGAUUUAGUUAGCAAGAACUCUGACCUCAAAACAUGAUUAUGCACAAGGGCAUCAUAUCAACACCAGGAUGUCCUUUUGUUCUUGUUUUAUGGUGAUUUACUAACAGAAGGUACUUUCAGAUGUGGUCAGCACUAUUUUCACAGGUUUAAGGCAUGUCUUGACUAUCUUCAAAAAAUCUGUAUUAGAGUUUUAAUGAAGUCAUGGUUGUCAAGACACUGGCAAGAAGAAGAAGCAUUACUUCCCAAGCUGACAGCAGAAAGAAAAAGUACCUCUGCUGCUGCUUUUAUUUUGUUUGUCCACGUCUGUCCACAGACAGAUUUGCAGCAGUAUCUUUACAUUUUCCCCUGAUUUUUUAACUCAUCUUUAAAUCUUAUUUUUUAAAAAUUUACUACACCAAAGUGAAAGGACAUAAAGUAAAAACAAAUCAUAAUCAAAAUGAUGUAAAGCAAAUAAUCAGCACUGAACCGGUGAUAUUUAUAUAGAAAAUUGAGAUAAAAACGGAGAUGAACUACAAAAAGCUAUAAUAAAGAAAUAUUUUUUAAAUUUAAAAACACUUCUGAUGGUUUUUUUUUUUUUUUUUUCCACUUCCUACUUUAUUCCAAGCCUGCGUCCUUGGAUAUUCUUUGUAGAAGAUCAACUAAAUCACACAGGAGAAAUAGAGCCAAAAAAAUCAGGAAAGACUUGACAUAUGUAUGAUUUUCGACUUAUGCAAAUCAGAUACAAAAUGUGAAAAUGAUCAAGGACGAUGCCAAACCUUGCCUCUUUCCCCCGGAUAUGCACACACUGGCUGCCUAUAUAUCUGAGAAAGGAGGCAGAGUGGGAGAUGUACCCAACCAUGCACACCUGGCAUAAGCGGGGACACACAACUAAGGUAUAAACUUUCAGUAUGCAACAAUCUGGCCACAAGAAUGAAAUCAAAUAAGCAUUUUCAAGAUCUGCUAAAGAAGCAGCUCCAACAACAACAUUUCCAAAUCCUGAGCUGCGGGUAGGAGAAUGACUUUCAUCAGAAAUGACAGGAGCCAGCUGCUCCAGGAAAGAUGUGAGCAGGGUGAUGAGUGGACGUUAAAGAGGGCACCACACACUGAAGGGCUUCCCAAGGCUGUAAACACAAACAGAGAAGGGGACCCAUCUUCAUUCAAAGGCAACUAAAAGUUAGUUGUGACACAUGCUAAACUUCUGAACACAGCCAAAUUCUUUUCCUCACUUCAUCUCCUCUAGGCUCUUAUCACCGCAAGCCAGAGAAACUCUUUGAAGUCUUUUAUUUUCAUUGCAAACCUACUUUCACAGUCAAACAUUUUUCAUCAAGCUAUUGGAGGGGAGAAAAAAAAAAAAAAAAAAAAAGCUUGCUUUUUUUUUUAUUCAUCAAGAAAGAACAAAUAGUUGUGAACUUAAAAAUUCUCCUCAUUUUUUUUAAAAUCUGGCUUUUUCAUAAAUAUUUAUUGCAAUUGCACAAUGUUUAUGUUCAAGAGAGUCACUUAGGAAAGAACAGCACAUUCUUUGGUGUUCCAGAACAUGACACCAGGUAAGAGAAGAUCUUUGAAGGAAAAAAAAAAAAAAAAAAAAGUCAAAAAAAAUGUUUUAAAGAAAAAUGUCCAAGUAUUUUCUUUGUUUGCCACAUGUUAAAAGGAUCAAAUAAUCAAUAACAGAAUAACAAAUAGAGGAGUCUUUUGGUUUUUGUGUUUUUUUAAUGUGAGGCCCCAAUGCCAAAAAGUUAACAUUCUGAUCUUAGCUUUAAAGAAGGACGUCUACCGGUUAUAUUUAUCAUCACUGGACGUUUCACAGACUCAAGAGCUGUAUUAGACGUUCUAUACAUUAAUAUUUCUCAUACGUCUCACAAUUUUUUGAUAGAUAAUACCUUGAAAGACUAAUAUUGAGCCUAGAAUUUAAAGCCAGGAAAAUGAGCAUUUGUCCCCAGGGCCAAAAGCUUAGGAAAAUAUGACAGAUAAGAAACGUGAAUAGCAUUUUAAAGGUUUUCCCUGAAGCUUCCUUGUGGUGAUUAUAUUUUCCAAAUCUAAAGUCGUCUGGCUAACAGUAUGACAAAGGUAUGAGAAACUGGGACAGUCCACUGGGCCACUCUAGUAGCUUCCUAUUGCUGUUGUAACAAACAGCCACAAACUCGGCCACUUGAAACACAGUUCUGGAGGUCAGGAGUUAUCCUACAGUUAUCUACAGUUCUCCUACAGUUCUCCUACAGUUCUGGAGGUCAGGAGUCUGCAAUAGGUCACAUGGGUGUUCACAGGGCUGCAUUUCUUCAAGAACCACUGGGAAUAAUCUGUUUCCUUGACUUUUUCCAGCUUCCAGAGGUCACCUGCAUUCCCUGGCCUAUGGUUCCCUUCCUUCAUCCUCAAAGCCAGAACCAUCAGACCAAGUCUGUCUUAUGCUGCCAUCUCUCUACUUUUGUCUCUAUGGUCUCCCUCUUCCACUUCUCAGGACACCCCCCAAUAAUCCAGGAUAGUCUCCCUAUUUAAAGGCCAACUGGAGCACCUGGGUGGCUCAGUCAGUCAAGAAUCUGACUCUUGAUUUUGGGCUUA